UGCUAAUAUUAUGAAAGGCUGACGUUAUCCUAUGUUUCCUUCAUGCUGAAUACAUUUACAUUCAUGCAGCUGCUUGUGUGAUCAGUAAAACCUACAAACUGAUUCUAAUCAAGUCAUGAUCAUUUUAUAAUAGUGAGC